rnacentral:other from 1 species
CAAAAAUGUGAUCUUGCUUGUAAAUACAAUUUUGAGAGGUUAAUAAAUUACAAGUAGUGCUAUUUUUGUAUUUAGGUUAGCUAUUUAGCUUUACGUUCCAGGAUGCCUAGUGGCAGCCCCACAAUAUCCAGGAAGCCCUCUCUGCGGUUAUUCAGAUUAGGUAGUCGAAAAACCUAAGAAAUUUACCUUGAGGCUUCGGAGUCGUCUUAAUGUAUAGAUUUGAAGAAGAGCUGUUUUUACGAUCCCUUCAGGAUUACAAAAUUCAAAGUGCGUUGCUAGUACCAACCCUAUUUUCAUUCUUCGCCAAAAGCACUCUGAUUGACAAAUACGAUUUAUCUAAUUUACACGAAAUUGCUUCUGGGGGCGCACCUCUUUCGAAAGAAGUCGGGGAAGCGGUUGCAAAACGCUUCCAUCUUCCAGGGAUACGACAAGGAUAUGGGCUCACUGAGACUACAUCAGCUAUUCUGAUUACACCCGAGGGGGAUGAUAAACCGGGCGCGGUCGGUAAAGUUGUUCCAUUUUUUGAAGCGAAGGUUGUGGAUCUGGAUACCGGGAAAACGCUGGGCGUUAAUCAGAGAGGCGAAUUAUGUGUCAGAGGACCUAUGAUUAUGUCCGGUUAUGUAAACAAUCCGGAAGCGACCAACGCCUUGAUUGACAAGGAUGGAUGGCUACAUUCUGGAGACAUAGCUUACUGGGACGAAGACGAACACUUCUUCAUAGUUGACCGCUUGAAGUCUUUGAUUAAAUACAAAGGAUAUCAGGUGGCCCCCGCUGAAUUGGAAUCGAUAUUGUUACAACACCCCAACAUCUUCGACGCGGGCGUGGCAGGUCUUCCCGACGAUGACGCCGGUGAACUUCCCGCCGCCGUUGUUGUUUUGGAGCACGGAAAGACGAUGACGGAAAAAGAGAUCGUGGAUUACGUCGCCAGUCAAGUAACAACCGCGAAAAAGUUGCGCGGAGGAGUUGUGUUUGUGGACGAAGUACCGAAAGGUCUUACCGGAAAACUCGACGCAAGAAAAAUCAGAGAGAUCCUCAUAAAGGCCAAGAAGGGCGGAAAGUCCAAAUUGUAAAA